GCUGCCCCUAGAGGCCUUGCAGGUGUGCCUGCUAUGUCACACGUGUGUCAAUACAUGGCAGAGAGGAGAGGGGCUAUGCCUAUGCUCUGUGUUCUAAUCUGCAGACAUCUGAAUGAUUAGUAGCCUAAGACU